ensembl:snoRNA
AAUUAAAGUUUUGGUGUCUUAUGAUGAAGCUGCAUAGGGCAGAUUCUGAGUUGAGAAAUAAAAUUUCUCUCCACUGAUCCUCUCUAUAUGCCAUCUGAAGACACUUUAUAUUGC